AUCCUAUACAGAUGUAUUCAACGCAAGAUAGUUGAGCAUCUCCCUUUAGGAUGAAGUUUAAUAGAAGUCCUAACAACAAUUCUUAUUGUGUGGCUUUAUAGUCGAAAUGGGAUGAGCUAGGAUGGAAUAGGUUAACCGUAAGACCUUGAGUUGCAAAACUCUAAAAUUGAGCUAGAGAUGUGGGUUUCUUAAUUUUCGCAGUUUCUAGUUACGGGAUA
rnacentral:ncRNA from 1 species